UACAGAGGUCCCAAGCGUUGUUCGGAUUCACUGGGCGUAAAGGGUGCGUAGGUGGCGGUGUAAGUCUGAUGUGAAAUCUCCAAGCUCAACUUGGAAAAUGCAUUGGAUACUAUGCUGCUUGAGGGUCGGAGGGGAGACUGGAAUUCUCGGUGUAGCAGUGAAAUGCGUAGAUAUCGAGAGGAACACCGGUGGCGAAGGCGAGUCUCUGGACGAAACCUGACACUGAGGCACGAAAGCUAGGGGAGCAAACAGG
rnacentral:misc_RNA from 1 species